rnacentral:rRNA from 1 species
GAUGAACGCUAGCUACAGGCUUAACACAUGCAAGUCGUGGGGCAGCAUGACUGGAGCUUGCUUCAGUUGAUGGCGACCGGCGCACGGGUGAGUAACGCGUAUCCAACCUUCCCAUGACAGGGGAAUAACCUUGCGAAAGUAAGACUAAUGCCCCAUGGUCUCCGACGACGGCAUCAGACUCGGAGUAAAGGCCUCAGCCGGUGAUGGAUGGGGAUGCGUCCGAUUAGCUUGACGGCGGGGUAACGGCCCACCGUGGCACCGAUCGGUAGGGGUUCUGAGAGGAAGGUCCCCCACAUUGGAACUGAGACACGGUCCAAAACUCCUACGGGAGGCAGCAGUGAGGAAUAUUGGGUCAAUGGGGCGAGAGCCUGAACCAGCCAAGUAGCGUGCAGGAAGACGGCCCUAUGGGUUGUAAACUGCUUUUAUAGGGGAAUAAAGUGAGCCACGUGUGGUUUUUGCAUGUACCCUAUGAAUAAGGACCGGCUAAUUCCGUGCCAGCAGCC